CAAUAGCGUAUAUUUAAGUUGUUGCAGUUAAAAAGCUCGUAGUCGGAUUUUGGCUGAGAACGAUCGGUCCGCCGUUAGGUGUGCACUGAUUGGUCGCAGCUUCCUGGUGAGGAGGUGUGCUUCACGGCCACUUAGUCACCGUGGUUACUUUGAAAAAAUUAGAGUGUUCAAAGCGGGCUUACGCUUGAAUAUAUUAGCAUGGAAUAACACCAUAGGACUCCUGUCCUAUUUCGUUGGUCUCGGGACGGGAGUAAUGAUUAAGAGGAACAGUUGGGGGCAUUCGUAUUUCAUUGUCAGAGGUGAAAUUCUUGGAUUUAUGAAAGACGAACUUCUGCGAAAGCAUUUGCCAAGGAUGUUUUCAUUGA
rnacentral:rRNA from 1 species